GCCUGGCUGGCUCAGUCAGAAGAGCAUGUGACUCUUGAUGUCAUGAUCAUGGGUUCGAACUCCAUGUUGGGUG
rnacentral:tRNA from 1 species